AUUGAACGCUGGCGGCAUGCCUUACACAUGCAAGUCGAACGGUAACAGGUCUUCGGAUGCUGACGAGUGGCGAACGGGCGAGUAAUACAUCGGAACGUGCCUAGUAGUGGGGGAUAACUACUCGAAAGAGUGGCUAAUACCGCAUGAGAUCUACGGAUGAAAGCAGGGGAUCGCAAGACCUUGUGCUACUAGAGCGGCCGAUGGCAGAUUAGGUAGUUGGUGGGAUAAAAGCUUACCAAGCCGACGAUCUGUAGCUGGUCUGAGAGGACGAUCAGCCACACUGGGACUGAGACACGGCCCAGACUCCUACGGGAGGCAGCAGUGGGGAAUUUUGGAAAAUGGGCGCAAGCCUGAUCCAGCAAUGCCGCGUGCAGGAUGAAGGCCUUCGGGCUGUAAACUGCUUUUGUACGGAACGAAAAGCCCUGGGUUAAUACCCUGGGGUCAUGACGGUACCGUAAGAAUAAGCACCGGCUAACUACGUGCCAGCCGCCGCAGUAAAAC
rnacentral:rRNA from 1 species